GAAAGCCUGACGGAGCAAUACCGCGUGAGGGAGGAAGGCUCUUGGGUUGUAAACCUCUUUUCUCAGGGAAGAAAAAAAUGACGGUACCUGAGGAAUAAGCAUCGGCUAACUCCGUGCCAGCAGCCGCGGUAAUACGGAGGAUGCAAGCGUUAUCCGGAAUGAUUGGGCGUAAAGCGUCCGCAGGUGGCUGUGUGUGUCUGCUGUUAAAGAGUCAUGCUUAACAUGAUAAAGGCAGUGGAAACUACACGGCUAGAGUGCGUUCGGGGCAGAGGGAAUUCCUGGUGUAGCGGUGAAAUGCGUAGAGAUCAGGAAGAACACCGGUGGCGAAA
rnacentral:rRNA from 1 species